UGGCCUUGACAUGCUGAGAAUCCUCCAUCUCUGGAGGAUUCUCAGCAUGUCAAGGCCAGGUAAGGUUCUUCGCGUUGCGUCGAAUUAAACCACAUGCUCCACCGCUUGUGCGGGCCCCCGUCAAUUCAUUUGAGUUUUAACCUUGCGGCCGUACUCCCCAGGCGGUCAACUUAGUGCGUUAGCUGCGCCACUAAGGAUUCAAGAUCCCCAACGGCUAGUUGACAUCGUUUACGGCGUGGACUAC
rnacentral:misc_RNA from 1 species